CUUUGUACUGAAAAUAAAACCCGUUACCUGCAGACAGAAACUUGCAGCAAAAAAGGAAGAUAAAGACCAAAAGAGGUUGGAGAGAAUCGGAAGCUUUUGCAAAUGUAUUUUGUUUUCAAAGUUCUCCACAGGGCAUCAGCUCUCUUUAAAACAAAAUAGGUUGUUAUUACUUUUCUUUUCUUCAUCGCUAUCUUGCAACAAAGAACAUUUCUGCUAUUUAACAAAUUUUGUAUUAGACCUGUUUAGGCAAGGCUGCAGCUGCCACUGGAGUUCAAUACCUGCAAACACAUUGCUCUAAGCCUGAAAAGUUGUGUUGAU